rnacentral:rRNA from 1 species
UACGAAGGGUGCAAACGUUGCUCGGAAUUAUUGGGCGUAAAGCGCGCGCAGGCGGCCUUUUAAGUCUGAUGUGAAAGCCCACGGCUCAACCGUGGAAGGUCAUUGGAAACUGAAAGGCUUGAGUACAGAAGAGGAAAGCGGAAUUCCACGUGUAGCGGUGAAAUGCGUAGAGAUGUGGAGGAACACCAGUGGCGAAGGCGGCUUUCUGGUCUGUAACUGACGCUGAGGCGCGAAAAGCGUGGGGAGCAAACAGG